rnacentral:lncRNA from 1 species
UAAGUUUACUCUUACGACUUAAGAAUUAGACUUAUUGUUGUCCCAUACAUAUUUGAGUUGUCCUUGUCGGCUCUUUGAAAGAAAGGUUUGAUAAUUAUUGAGUCGUCAUUGAUUUUGUCGUUCUAGGCAUUAUUUUAAUACCCAUUUAAUCAAGGAGUUUUUAGACUUGUUUACGAUUUAUGUCAUUUAGUUUAAAUGGUUCAAGCAACAUAGAUCCCAGGGCCUUCUUUUAUAUUUUCUCAUCGUUCAUAACGUUUUUGUGCCACUGCGAAAUUGAAAUAUUUAGGAAAUAUUUCUAUAUGGUGUUUAUUAAAAACAUUUUGGAAAUUCAUACGGGUUGUCCCAUAAUUAAAUAAUUUGACAGUCGAAUGUUAAUAGUGAUAUUAAUAUUAAGUCAAAUUUUCCUAGUCGAAAUGUCAACUACCACAAAGAUACUGAGUGAUUAAGCUAAUUUAAAUUUUGUUUACACAUUAUGUAAUUAUUUAUUAAUUUUAAUGAUGACAAUUGAAACGCCUCCUUCAUUGGCACGAUUUAAUGUCUUUAAACGAAUUUAUAAUUGCCAUUUUCACACCAGAGGUGGAAGAAAAAUUUCUGAAAGUAAUAAGAAAAAGCGGGAACAUAGAUCUAAAAACAUUAAUUGUCGUGCGCAGUUAAUUAUUAUAAUUAAAAAAGAAAUAAAAAAAAUUUCUCGAUCUCGUGCUAAAAACGUUGAUGAACUAGCCAACGAAUGGCCCUGUAUUAUUGAAUUCAGGAAUAACCAUAACCAUUCUAUAGAUAGUGUUGCUGCGUUAACUCAAAGACGCAUCAAAACUGAAACAAAAAAUGUAAUAUUAACAUAUUUUGAGAGAGGUCAUUCGGUAGCAUCUGCAUACUAAACAUAUAAUUUUGAUAAAAUGGAACAAUAUGGUGACGAUUUUAGCAUAAUGUCUGCAGAUAGAGCAAAAUUUCCCACCAAAAAUUAUUUCAAGUACUUAUGGAAAGUUAAUUUCGCAAAUAAAUUUGGCCCUAGAAAUAAAAAUUAAAUGCUUUCAUUUUUAAAACAAAAUCUAACAAAUUCUGAUGUACCCCAUAAAAAUGAUAAAUUAGGCGAACAUUAUAUAGUUGCAUUAUGUACGCCAAUUAUGCAAAGAGUUGAUUGUUGUUCCGAUUGGUGGACUUCCUUUGGGUUGUCUUGUUUCAACGUCCGAGAAAACAGAACUCUUUCAUUUAGGAGUCAAGAAUUUAUUGGAAAUAAUAACCUAUAAAUUAGCACCUAACAUUAUUAUUACAGACGAUGAUUUGAAGGAAAGAAAUGUGCUUAAAGAGUUUUUUCCGAAUUCAAAACUGCUAUUAUCCACUUUUCAUGUGCUCAAAGCAGUUUGGAAAUGGCUUUUGAGCGCGCAUAAUGGCGUCGAAAAAGACCACCGCCAAACCUUAUAUAAUAUGUUCAAGGCAAUUUUAAUGUCAUCCAAAGAAGAAGAUGUACAAGAAAAUAUUAAAGUCUUUAUAAAAUCUUCCCAAAAUUAUUCAAAAUUUAAUAAAUAUAUUGAAAACUAUUUGGCGCGAAAGGAGUUAUGGUGUCUUUUUUACGGAAAAAAUCUCAUGACUCAGGGCACUAAUACGAACAAUGUUGAAAUAAUGUUUCGGCUGUUUAAAGAUAUACCUCUUGAAAGAACAAAGGCCUAUAGUCUUACCCAACUAGUAGAUUUUAUAACGAUUAGCAUUAGUAGGUAUUAUAUACAAAGGAUAUUAGAUGUCAUAAUGGGAAAACUUGAUCGAACAAAAAUGUUAAAGUUAUUGCCAGAUUGCAAGGAUGUAAAUAAAGAAAACAUUACUGAAGUAGUACCUGGCAACUUUCAAUAUUUAGUUAAAAGUAAUUCUGAUCCCACUCUAAGUUAUUUUGUGGAUAUGAGUAUCGGCAUCUGUUCAUGUCCGUUUGGCAACUCGGGAAAGAUCUGUAAACAUCAAUCGGCAAUCAUCGAUGUACUUAAACUUGAAUCUGCAUAUAAUACACUAACCCUUUGAAGCAAAGAAAUAUUAUAUAAUAUAGCUACGGGAAAUGACGCACCACCAACUUUUUUUGUUCCUUUGUUAGAAGAACCUUGUCUGGAAAAGCCUCAGGCUGAAUAUCUACCAUACAUUGGGCUCUUAGAUACUUCUGAAGCUGCACCAAGCAAUCAACAAACACAUUCAAUAGAAUCUACUACUAAAAGUGUUAUGGAUAUUGAGGAUGGUUUUGAUGCAAGAGAAACAGGGGAGAAAUUAAAAGAAUUUAUUGAUCAAUUCAAAAACACACUACUAAAGAAUUUGGAAGACGAUCCACAACACUUUCAACCGGCUAUAGAAGCAUUAAUGAAAAAUUACCACUCGAAUGCUAAAACACCACUUCAACUAUUAAGUUUAUUGCAUACUUCUUUUAAAAACACAAUAUAUAAGCCAAGUCAUCCACCAACAACUAGAAAGGGAAAAAAAAUAUCAGUGCAGCCUACAGCCAUAGCAAGAAGACAUUCGAAAUAUUCAGGAAAAAGAAGAUUCCAAGGAGGUAAAGGUAAAUGGGGAAAGAAAAAGCCAGUUGCACCACAUUCGCUUGGCAAAUGUGUCGAAAACAAUAAAGGACUAGGUGACAGAAGAAUAGAGAAUUAACUAUUUCCUUUUUUAUGAUUAUUAUUACACAUUUAAUUUCAUUUUGUUAAUAAACUUUUUUUUUUAAA